rnacentral:rRNA from 1 species
ACGAAGGGGGCUAGCGUUGUUCGGAUUUACUGGGCGUAAAGCGCACGUAGGCGGAUCGUUAAGUCAGGGGUGAAAUCCCAGGGCUCAACCCUGGAACUGCCUUUCAUACUGGCAAUCUCGAGUCCGAGAGAGGUGAGUGGAAUUCCGAGUGUAGAGGUGAAAUUCGUAGAUAUUCGGAGGAACACCAGUGGCGAAGGCGGCUCACUGGCUCGGUACUGACGCUGAGAUGCGAAAGCGUGGGGAGCAAACAGGA